UAGUCCACGCCCUAAACGAUGUCAACUAGUUGUUGGGGAUUCAUUUCUUCAGUAACGUAGCUAACGCGUGAAGUUGACCGCCUGGGGAGUACGGUCGCAAGAUUAAAACUCAAAGGAAUUGACGGGGACCCGCACAAGCGGUGGAUGAUGUGGAUUAAUUCGAUGCAACGCGAAAACCUUACCUACCCUUGACAUGCCACUAACGAAGCAGAGAUGCAUCAGGUGCCCGAAAGGGAAGUGGACACAGGUGCUGCAUGGCUGUCGUCAGCUCGUGUCGUGAGAUGUUGGGUUAAGUCCCGCAACGAGCGCAACCCUUGUCUUUAGUUGCUACGCAAGAGCACUCUAGAGAGACUGCCGGUGACAAACCGGGNGGAAGGUGGGGAUGACGUCAAGUCCUCAUGGGCCCUUAUGGGGUAGGGGCUUCACACGUCAUACAAUGGUGCGUACAGA
rnacentral:rRNA from 1 species